GGGRGGCAGCAGKGGGGAUUYUUGCMCAAKGGAGGAAAUUUGAUGCAGSGAUGCCGCUUGAGUGAAGAAGGCCUUURRRUUGUAAAGUUCUUUCGUCGGGGAAGAAAAUGACUGUACCCGAAUAAGAAGGUCCGGCUAACUUCGUGCCAGCAGCCGCGGUAAUACGAAGGGACCUAGCGUAGUUCGGAAUUACUGGGCUUAAAGAGUUCGUAGGUGGUUGAAAAAGUUGGUGGUGAAAUCCCAGAGCUUAACUCUGGAACUGCCAUCAAAACUUUUCAGCUAGAGUAUGAUAGAGGAAAGCAGAAUUUCUAGUGUAGAGGUGAAAUUCGUAGAUAUUAGAWAGAAUACCAAUUGCGAAGGCAGCUUUCUGGAUCAUUACUGACGCUGAGGAACGAAAGCAUGGGUAGCGAAGAGGAUUAGAUACCCUCGUAGUCCAUGCCGUAAACGAUGUGUGUUAGACGUUGGAAAUUUAUUUUCAGUGUCGCAGCGAAAGCGAUAAACACACCGCCUGGGGAGUACGACCGCAAGGUUAAAACUCAAAUGAAUUGACGGGGACCCGCACAAGUAGUGGAGCAUGUGGUUUAAUUCGAAGAUACGCGCAGAACCUUACCAACACUUGACAUGUUCGUCGCGACUCUAAGAGAUUAGAGUUUUCGGUUCGGCCGGACGAAACACAGGUGCUGCAUGGCUGUCGUCAGCUCGUGUCGUGAGAUGUUGGGUUAAGUCCCGCAACGAGCGCAACCCUCACUUUUAGUUGCCAUCAUUAGGUUGGGCACUCUGAWAGAACUGCCAGUGAUAAGCUGGAGGAAGGUGGGGAUGACGUCAAGUCCUCAUGGCCCUUACGUGUUGGGCUACACACGUGCUACAAUGGUAUCUACAACAGGAAGCGAAACGGCAACGUUAAGCAAAUCCCGAAAAGAUACCUCAGUUCGGAUUGCACUCUGCAACUCGAGUGCAUGAAGCUGGAAUUACUAGUAAUCGUGGAUCAGCGUGCCACGGUGAAUGCGUUCCCGGGUCUUGUACACACCGCCCGUCACACCAUGGGAGUUGGUUCUACCUUAAGGCAAGGU
rnacentral:rRNA from 1 species